AGCGAACGCUGGCGGCAGGCUUAACACAUGCAAGUCGAGCGGGCGUAGCAAUACGUCAGCGGCAGACGGGUGAGUAACGCGCGGGAACGUACCUUUUGGUUCGGAACAACACAGGGAAACUUGUGCUAAUACCGGAUAAGCCCUUACGGGGUAAGAUUUAUCGCCGAAAGAUCGGCCCGCGUCUGAUUAGCCAGUUGGUGAGGUAAUGGCUCACCAAGGCGACGAUCAGUAGCUGGUCUGAGAGGAUGAUCAGCCACAUUGGGACUGAGACACGGCCCAAACUCCUACGGGAGGCAGCAGUGGGGAAUAUUGGACAAUGGGGGCAACCCUGAUCCAGCCAUGCCGCGUGAGUGAUGAAGGCCCUAGGGUUGUAAAGCUCUUUUGUGCGGGAAGAUAAUGACGGUACCGCAAGAAUAAGCCCCGGCUAACUUCGUGCCAGCCGCCGCGGUAAUAC
rnacentral:rRNA from 1 species